rnacentral:lncRNA from 1 species
UUACCUCCCUAUAAAACAAGAAUGCCCAAACACAGGCUUGUGUGAAGGUUGGGGGGGGUGGAGGGGAACAACCCUUGCAGGUUUUUGAGGUCAAACCUCAGCAGCCCUUUGGCAGGAGGGUUUGCUCCAUCGCUGCUUCAGAGAUGGGGAAACUGAGGCACAAGGCGGACACGAGAUGCUGUCACUGUCCCCUAAGGAGGAGGAGAGAGGAGUUUGUCUAAAUGUCCCUGUUCCCUUCCUGGGCAACAGCCCCCCAUCUUGCCCCCUUCCUCCAAAUGUGCAAUGUGCUCCCUAUCCCUGUUAAGCUCAGGUUUGGGUUAUCCCACAGGUAGAACAUCUGCAAUAUCUGCUUUCCAAGCUUUGGGUUGCAGAGCACAGAAGAACCCCCCCCAGAUCAGCGCUCGGCUGCCAAAAAAUAGUGCAACAAGUCCCGGGAGCCCCAUGCAAAAAGCAGCUGCCUCCUCCAAGAGCAACACGCGGGAGGUUUUUUGGUGGGACCCGCUGCCACCCGCAUCCACCUCCGUCCCACAGCAGUGGGCCCCGUGCGAGCUGAUGGCCGUGUCCUUGCUGCCUCCUUACCAAAGGUACCAGCACAUGCACCAACACCUUCCCCUCGGCUUUGGCAGAAAAUCGGUUUGGCCAGAACCACCUCAGAGGUGGGUUGUGCUCCUCCCCGAUGAAUCCUGAACGCUCCAGCAUUCUCUGUGGCUCAGCGGGAUUUGCAGGGCUGAUCCAAUGGGAGUCCCCCAUGUCGAUAAGAGCACAGCAAGGAAGCGAAGAGAUGGGGAAGAUCUGUGAUGUACCCAGGUGAUGCUCGCACAAGACUCAUCUUUACCUGAAACCAUCUCAGCCUCGUCUUACGUGGUGAGAGCACAAAUCCCUCCUCAACGCAUAGCGGACAAUGCUGGUAUGAGGAAGAGAAUGGCAGGAAUUGGCAGAAAUGCUGUGAAAUCCUGGACUCGGGAGGUACGAGACACCCCAAGCAGCGCAGAGACCUUUGGGCACGUCUCCAGAGAAAAGAAGUAUUCAAAAUAAACAGUUAAUCCACUGCGAUUCUUCAACUGGGGAAGCCCCGAGGACACCAAACGCUCCGAGAGGUGGCUGCAUGUUUUUGGAAGAGGAGCAAACCCUUUGGUGACCCCCAACAGCACCGGAAUGGGGAGCUGCAGCAGUCAGAGCCAGUCGUCCAGAUGUGCCGGGGAUAGAAGUCAGAUGUGGCUCGAAUAGAUGUGAGGAAUUCAAGCGGGGGAAAACCACACCGGGUGGACGAAGCAGGAAUUGGAGCAGAGAGCCGCUCCGCACCCACGCUGCCUCCUUCUUCUCCUGGUUAUCUACUGAAAACCCCGUCCUUUGAUCAGACUCCCCCCAGACUCAAUGGUGAGUGUCCUGGGGAUCUCAUCAACCUCAGCAACCCAGGUUUUCUUCUUUUGGAGGCCAAGCAAAGCAUCAAGUUGUACUUUUUGGUGGUGCCGUUACCUCCCCACAUGACCAGAUGCAAUGGGAGGUGCCAGCUGCCCGUUCCUCAGCUGCCACGAGGAUAUCUGAGGCUUAUUUCUCCCAGAAUAUGUGAUCACAGCCACGGCCGAGGACCGGGGAGGAGUUCAGGUCUGCAUCCAGAUGUUCACAGGGUCUGUGGGCGUUUAGAUUCCUUCCGGACCCAACCCCGUCCCCGUUAAACCUCGCGGGAGGUUCCCGGUGAGUGUGCAGUGCUCCUGGCUUGCAAAACACCUCCAGAUUCAACAAAUGCAGCUGCUGUCACCGCUUACCCUGAAACCUGCUGGCACCAGGGAGCCUGUCACCCCCGAACACCACUGUACCCUGUGCAAGGACCUCUUCUUACAUCUGUUCGCCUGUGAACACGCGACAGCAAAUCCCAGCAUCACUGGGGAAUGAACACUGGCAUUUAGGGAGUCAUUUGGCAUGUCACAGGUUUGGCUUUCAGGUGGGACUUCAGGAGCGAUUUCUCCUGGUUCUGGCUGUAAAAAAUGGGGCAUCUCUCUGUCCUUGUUGCCAUCUCUUGCACGCUGAGCUCCUUCAUUACAUCCUGUCAGGUUUUGGUGUUGAAUAUUGCUGCUUAGCAGCUCCUAAAUGCGAGGUGUACUGGACUUGAAGCAAAACACACAAUGUAAAAAAGCACAAGUGAAUGACUUGUAGGUCAUCUUUACAUUCUUGACCUCUCCGUCGUCUCUCCGAGCUGCUAUAUGUUGCCUGGUGCUCCCGGCAGACAAUACCCCAUUGAUCACGCCGAGGAGCUGAUGCCAACGGAGAGGGUCGCGCUGCCACCGGGCCCCGACCCGCCCUUGGAAAUGCCUCGCACAAUGCACAGAUUGUGUACGUCAGCGCAUUGUGGCACCCAUACGAUGUCGCUGAUGCUCAGACACACAAAAAGGGUCUUAUGGUAGUGGGGUACAGGCGUUCCUUUCACAGGGCGAUGGACGUCAUUGGUUUGGUCCCUUUUCUUGCUGGAAACAAAAUGCCCUUUAAAAAUAAAGCAAUAAGAGCUGAACUGGCCAUGCUUUCGGUCUCCCCCCUUUUCUGUAGGGUGCCCUGCCCAUGCAGAUAACCCCAAGGAGAGGAGAAUUAGCACUUCAUAUUUCUAAUGUGCAAGUCGGGAGCAAGAACCCAGCCAGCCGGCAGCCAGACCGUGCCGAAAUCCCUCCUGCUAUUCUCCAGCAGCCCCAGUUGGGUUUGGUCCGAGCCCUUUUCUCUGGAGAGUUACCAGCAUUGGCUGCACUGGGAUCACCCCAA